CACGUAGGGGGCAAGCGUUGUCCGGAUUUAUUGGGCGUAAAGAGCUCGUAGGCGGUUCGGUAAGUCGGGUGUGAAACCUCCAGGCUCAACCUGGAGACGCCACCCGAUACUGCUGUGACUAGAGUCCGGUGAGGGGAGCGUGGAAUUCCUGGUGUAGCGGUGAAAUGCGCAGAUAUCAGGAGGAACACCAGCGGCGAAAGCGCGAGACUGGGCCAUAACUGACGCUGAGGAACGAAAGCCAGGGGAGCGAACAGG
rnacentral:rRNA from 1 species